rnacentral:rRNA from 1 species
UACGAAGGGGGCUAGCGUUGCUCGGAAUUACUGGGCGUAAAGCGCACGUAGGCGGAUUGUUAAGUCGGGGGUGAAAUCCUGGAGCUCAACUCCAGAACUGCCUUCGAUACUGGCGAUCUCGAGUUCGGGAGAGGUGAGUGGAACUGCGAGUGUAGAGGUGAAAUUCGUAGAUAUUCGGAAGAACACCAGUGGCGAAGGCGGCUCACUGGCCCGGUACUGACGCUGAGGUGCGAAAGCGUGGGGAGCAAACAGG